AGUGAACGCUGGCGGUAGGCCUAACACAUGCAAGUCGAACGGCAGCACAGUAAGAGCUUGCUCUUACGGGUGGCGAGUGGCGGACGGGCGAGGAAUACAUCGGAAUCUACUUUUUCGUGGGGGAUAACGUAGGGAAACUUACGCUAAUACCGCAUACGACCUACGGGUGAAAGCAGGGGAUCUUCGGACCUUGCGCGAUUGAAUGAGCCGAUGUCGGAUUAGCUAGUUGGCGGGGUAAAGGCCCACCAAGGCGACGAUCCGUAGCUGGUCUGAGAGGAUGAUCAGCCACACUGGAACUGAGACACGGUCCAGACUCCUACGGGAGGCAGCAGUGGGGAAUAUUGGACAAUGGGCGCAAGCCUGAUCCAGCCAUACCGCGUGGGUGAAGAAGGCCUUCGGGUUGUAAAGCCCUUUUGUUGGGAAAGAAAGGCAGCAGGUUAAUACCCCGCUGUUCUGACGGUACCCAAAGAAUAAGCACCGGCUAACUUCGUG
rnacentral:rRNA from 1 species